UGAACAUUUUGAAGAUGGGAAGUUUUCUCCGGAAGUAAAUAACUUUUACCACAAAGACAUUAUAAUUUCAUGGAAGGUUCUGUAAUCCGAUACAGUAAAAGAUUAUAAGAAUCUCUUGGCUGAUAACAGCUAUGAAGAAAAUGAAGCUGGAAGCUAUGGUGUCCAUAGCUUGUGUUUGGACCUGGGAAAGUCAAUUAGGUCUAAGUUCAUCCUACAGGUUACUGUAGGACACAAGGCUCUGAAGAAUUCAGUUUGUAAGGAGACUGAGGAAGAGAGCAAUCAAAGUAUCAAUUAAAAUCAUAUUUUAUUAGAUACAAAUAGGAGGAUCGGAUUGUACCUUUGCAAGCUGGAAGCCAUAAUGGAGAAUUAGGAGUUACACAAUAGGUGUGGUUAAAUAAAUAGUCUGUUUAAUUAAUUAGUGCAAAAAUAGCAUACCUCCCAAGUAUCCCUAAUUAGGAG